rnacentral:rRNA from 1 species
UACGUAGGGGGCAAGCGUUGUCCGGAUUUACUGGGCGUAAAGAGCGCGUAGGCGGAAGCUUAAGUGUGGCCUGAAAGCCCCCGGCUCAACCGGGGAAGGUGGCUGCAAACUGGGCUUCUUGAGGGGGAGAGGGGAAAGUGGAAUUCCGGGUGUAGCGGUGAAAUGCGCAGAUAUCAGGAGGAACACCGGUGGCGAAGGCGGGUCUCUGGGCCGAUACUGACGCUGAGGAGCGAAAGCGUGGGGAGCGAACAGG